UUUUUGUGCUCUUUGUAUCUGUUGUAAUUUCCUUGGAAAUCAGUAGGAGGCAUUACUUCUGAAGCAACCUAAGUAGGUUUUUCUAUGGAAUUAUAUGCCACUGAAGAUUAAAGCAAGCCAAAGUCUGCCCAGUUUCAGAGCCUUUAGAAAGAUCUAUGUAAGUGGUUGUGUUUUGUUCUUUUCAUUAUUUCUUUUACAGGUGUACUACACUGAAAGAUGAGAAUAGGAUUUUAUUUUGCUAAGUACUCCAGAAAUGUACAGCUAAACCUUGUCCCAGUAGGCUGCAAGCUAAAAAGAUCAGCAUGAGUCUAAAAAGAAAGUGGAGACACAGCCCUGAGGUGAAAAUAAUUUCAUCCAUUGCUGUCACAUGUGAAAAUUGAUGACCUAAUGAGAAAUGACUGCUUUGAAUGAGCACUUUGAUUACUUGCGGUUGAAAAUAAAGACUUGGCAGAAAUAAA